rnacentral:rRNA from 1 species
UACGGAGGGAGCGAGCGUUGUUCGGAAUUACUGGGCGUAAAGGGUGCGCAGGCGGCUUGGCAAGUCGGAAGUGAAAUCCCAGGGCUUAACCCUGGAAUUGCUUUCGAAACUGCCAAGCUUGAGUCUCGGAGAGGUUAGCGGAAUUCCCAGUGUAGAGGUGAAAUUCGUAGAUAUUGGGAGGAACACCAGUGGCGUAAGCGGCUAACUAGACGAGUACUGACGCUCAGGCACGAAAGCGUGGGGAUCAAACAGG